rnacentral:rRNA from 1 species
AUACGUAGGGGGCGAGCGUUGUCCGGAAUGAUUGGGCGUAAAGGGCGCGUAGGCGGCCCGGUAAGUCUGGAGUGAAAGUCCUGUUUUUGAGAUGGGAAUUGCUUUGGAUACUGUCGGACUUGAGUGCAGGAGAGGUAAGUCGAAUUCCCAGUGUAGCGGUGAAAUGCGUAGAGAUUGGGAGGAACACCAGUGGCGAAGGCGACUUACUGGACUGUAACUGACGCUGAGGCGCGAAAGUGUGGGGAGCAAACAGGAUUAGAUACCCUGGUAGUCCACACUGUAAACGAUGAAUGCUAGGUGUAGGGGGUAUCGACCCCUUCUGUGCCGCAGUCAACACAAUAAGCAUUCCGCCUGGGGAGUACGGCCGCAAGGUUGAAACUCAAAUGAAUUGACGGGG